rnacentral:rRNA from 1 species
AUUGAACGCUGGCGGCAUGCCUUACACAUGCAAGUCGAACGGCAGCACGGGAGCAAUCCUGGUGGCGAGUGGCGAACGGGUGAGUAAUAUAUCGGAACGUGCCCGGUCGUGGGGGAUAACGUAGCGAAAGCUACGCUAAUACCGCAUACGAUCUACGGAUGAAAGCGGGGGAUCGCAAGACCUCGCGCGAUUGGAGCGGCCGAUAUCAGAUUAGGUAGUUGGUGAGGUAAAGGCUCACCAAGCCGACGAUCUGUAGCUGGUCUGAGAGGACGACCAGCCACACUGGGACUGAGACACGGCCCAGACUCCUACGGGAGGCAGCAGGUGGGGAAUAUUGGACAAUGGGCGAAAGCCUGAUCCAGCAAUGCCGCGUGAGUGAUGAAGGCCUCGGUUGUAAGGACUCUUUACUUC